AGAAGUGGAUGCUCUUCAGAAAGGAGGUAAUCAGGUAAAAGAAGUUCUCGAAGCUUUAUCUUGCUGUAUGUAGAUGAUGGCUUUCGUUGAUUAUAUAUGAACACUUGGCUUUUUUAUCCGAAUGAAUCGGUUAGCCAGCACGAACUUGGAUCACAAAUAUGGUACAUUUUCAUGCGUCUUUGGUAAGUUAUUAUUCAAUAUUUUGGGAAUCCUAUCUGGCACAGCCUUCCCUCGGCUUCGACUCAAAAUAUUUACCACACUUAUGAGUUAACUUAUAAUGAUUUUGGUCAAAUAGUUCAGACACUUGUAACUGACUCUAGUGUAUUCUUCUGGGCAGAGAACUGCAUCCUUAGGAAGCUUUGGAUCUUUUGAUAGCAGUUCAACGUCUUUCAAAUCAGUUCAUUCUACGAGCUUGCCACAUCCCUUUUAAAUCCUUAAAAAAUCGUUUCUCUUCUUGGAUUUGUUUACUAACUUCCUUUAUUUCAGUCUUUGAAUGGUCAUGGCAGGGUAACAACUUCAGGUGAGAGUGAACCACCAUCUUCCAGCUUAUCGUCACACUUCGAUAUAACACUCAAUGACUUCCCCAUGGGUUCACCAGUGGUACUUUUGUUUUCUUUAAUCGAGCUUAAUAAUCUUAUCUGGUGGACUCCUUUGUUGUUAGUGAUCUAUUCAGUAUUUGAUGGCUUGUUACUUACUGGUAUAGGCUGGCGUGGACUCAGUUGCAACUGAUCACAAGCCUAGCAAUCCAUUUGAUCUGCCCUAUGAUUCAGACAUGGAAUCUACAAAUAUGGUUCGUACACUUUGUGCUUGCUGCAUAGCUUAUUAGGGCAUGUUAUAAAUUUUGAAAUGACCAUUCUUUAAAUGUAUUUGGAUAUAUUUAAUCUUCCUCAACUCUUUAGCUUAUUUGGAUUGGCUAUUUAUCUAUGUAUCAAUCAAUCACAUUUGGCCUUAGUUUCUGUUUUUGUAUAUUGGGAAAACUUCUAUUUAGACACUGUACAGUUAUAAUGGAUAUGAUGUUUUGUAUAUAGUCUCAGUUCUGGACACCGAAGCUUCUGUAGAUUUGGUCACACUAGCUGGUUUGCAUCUAGUCUCAGUUCUCUCCGCCGUAGUUGAUGUAGACGAUGGUUCCAUGGCCUCCAUUGCCACUUUGAGAAAGUUGGCCUUGGAUAAUAGCAUUCCAAUUGUUUUAAUCAUUGAUCUCAUAAGGUAUAUAUGUCUCCCAUCUCAAGAAAAGUUGGUUAUUUGAUCUUUCCUACUGGGUGAUGGAAUAUUUGGAUUUCAGGUAUAGGAGAAAGAGGGAAAAGCUGGUUGAAAGGACUGCAGUUUCGCGCUUGCCUACUAAAUGGGGUUCGUUUAUGGUAUACUGUUAUCGUUCAAAACUGGACGAGAAGAGCAUAUUGCGCUUGUGAAGGUAGAAAACGAAGAAAGCAUUCAGUGUCAAGAUAUAGUGUUGUUGGUGAAAGUAAGUUUGAAGUUUUAUGGCUGUGUUGAUUCAGGGAGACAUAGGGAAUGGGCAGGAUGUUCAUAUGAGGGUUCACUAGGAGUGUUUGACAGGCGACAUUUUUGGAUCAAGGCGAUGCACAAUAUUUUAUUGGGUUUGAUGUAGAAUGUUUGUAUGAUGGAUACUUUUUCAAUGUAGGA
rnacentral:lncRNA from 1 species